CCUACGGGGGGCAGCAGUGAGGAAUAUUGGUCAAUGGACGCAAGUCUGAACCAGCCAUGCCGCGUGAAGGAUGAAUGCCCUACGGGUUGUAAACUUCUUUUGUACGAGGCGAAUCUCUUCUACGUGUAGAGGACUGACAGUUUCGUACGAAUAAGCAUCGGUUAACUCCGUGCCAGCAGCCGCGGUAAUACGGAGGAUGCAAGCGUUAUCCGGAUUUAUUGGGUUUAAAGGGUGCUUAGGUGGGAGAGGUGAAAUAUUGCAGCUUAACUGUAAAAUUGCCUUUGAUACUGUAGUUCUUGAGUUCAGUUGAGGUGGGCGGAAUGUGUAAUGUAGCGGUGAAAUGCUUAGAUAUUACACAGAACACCAAUUGCGUAGGCAGCUCACUAAACUGACACUGACACUGAGGCACGAAAGCGUGGGGAUCAAACAGGAUUAGAUACCCUUGUAGUC
rnacentral:rRNA from 1 species